AAGGCUACAUGCUGAUAAAUAUUGUAAACAAAGCUUUUCCUCGUGAUUGUUGUAUUAUCUUUACAACAAUCACGAAGAAAACCAUAAUUUGAUUCUACAAUGUGAGAAAAGAAAAGAGUACCUACCUAUUAACUGUAACUACCUAUCUAUUAGCAUAUCGCGACCAACUUGUUCGGCUAUAGACACGGUAAGACCAUGAUUUUAUGCUGAUCAAUCUGAAUCACCGAACGGAACGAGUCAUAACCGACAUUAUCUUCGCGUAGUCAAUGACUUUCGGCGUGAAGCGCGAACGAAAUUGGAAGACAAACAAAUAUUAGAAUAAUAAUUCUAUAAUAAGCAAGCCAACAAGCAAGUAAGAAUACCUACUGGGAUACAUUUUCUCGCACAAUCGCGCGAUAUCCGUUGCCUUUGCUGCAAUGCUAUCUAAAACGCGGUAGA